GAGAACGCUGUUGUUGUCAAAUGUCCGUGGAAAAGGAAAAGUGAGCGAGUGUGGGUAAAUAAAGUCAAUACAACGGAUUGGAGCACUUAAAAGCAGCAACAACAAUAACAAUGCCGGGCCGGACACUUGCCGGCAAAAAAAUGACGGUCCGCAGCUGACGGAACCUAUAGACCCUGCACCCACUCCGCCAACCACUUUGCAGGCCUCAAAGAAUGUGUGCGGAUGUCCUGUUCCUGUUUUCUGCAUCCACCUGCCUGCAUAUGUCGCUGUGCAUUUUGUGCAAACAUUGCGUAAACUUCUUUUAAUUCAACGCUGGCACUUGCAGAAAAUUUGCAAGAGGAACUGCUGCCAGAGUGUGGUUUAUGAAGGGACUCCCUCCCCACUUUUCUUCGAGUGCAUAGAAGGGGAUUCGACGCGCUGGCAUGUCCUGGAGGCCAGGGAUAUUAAUGCAAACAGCUGCCGACACCGCCGCAGAUGCUGGCCUUCCAGCCGGCAUACCCCUUGCAUUUUUUAAUUAAUUAAGUCUUAAUAUUAUUGCACUGACAUUAAGCGAAAUGCAUAUUGACGCCACGCCCCCCGGGGCUAACGCCCCCAGAAACGUCACACGCUCAUUAGCAACGCCUCAGUAAAUUUUUGCAGCUCUGGAUUGUCUUUUCCUCGCAACACGGCCAAAAUAAAUACAUUUUCCCAUUAA